rfam:Schistosoma curassoni strain Dakar, Senegal genome assembly, scaffold: SCTD_scaffold0009418
GCCCAGCUGACGAGUCCCAAAUAGGACGAAACGCGCGUCCUGGAU